UACGUAGGGUGCAAGCGUUGUCCGGAAUUAUUGGGCGUAAAGAGCUCGUUAGGCGGUUUGUCGCGUCUGCUGUGAAAAUCCAGGGCUCAACCCUGGACCUGCAGUGGGUACGGGCAGACUAGAGUGCGGUAGGGGAGAUCGGAAUUCCUGGUGUAGCGGUGAAAUGCGCAGAUAUCAGGAGGAACACCGGUGGCGAAGGCGGAUCUCUGGGCCGUAACUGACGCUGGAGACG
rnacentral:rRNA from 1 species